rnacentral:rRNA from 1 species
UACGGGGGGGGUAAGCGUUGUUCGGAAUUACUGGGCGUAAAGCGCGUGUAGGCGGCUAAGUAAGUCGGGCGUGAAAUCCCACGGCUCAACCGUGGAAGUGCACUCGAAACUGCAUAGCUAGAGUCCUGGAGAGGAAGGUGGAAUGCUUGGUGUAGAGGUGAAAUUCGUAGAUAUCAAGCGGAACACCGGUGGCGAAGGCGGCCUUCUGGACAGUGACUGACGCUGAGACGCGAAAGCGUGGGGAGCAAACAGG